UUACCAUGCUAAGUCAGAACGAGCAGCACGGCCGGGUAACCGGUGGGUGGCGAGUGGCGGACGGGUGAGUAAUGCGUAGGAAUCUGCCUUGUAGUGGGGGAUAACUCGGGGAAACUCGGGCUAAUACCGCAUACGCUCUACGGAGGAAAGCGGGGGAUCUUCGGACCUCGCGCUAUGAGAUGAGCCUACGUCCGAUUAGCUAGUUGGCAGGGUAAUGGCCUACCAAGGCGACGAUCGGUAGCUGGUCUGAGAGGACGAUCAGCCACACUGGAACUGAGACACGGUCCAGACUCCUACGGGAGGCAGCAGUGGGGAAUAUUGGACAAUGGGCGCAAGCCUGAUCCAGCAAUGCCGCGUGUGUGAAGAAGGCCUGCGGGUUGUAAAGCACUUUAAGCAGGGAAGAAGGGUGGGGGGUUAAUACCCUCUCACAUUGACGUUACCUGCAAAAUANNCACCGGCUGGCUCCGUGCCAGCAGCCGCGGUUAUACU
rnacentral:rRNA from 1 species